AGAAGCACUGCACGUUCACACAGCACACUGCUAAACUUAACUAAUGCAGUCGCAGUGGUCUUGGAGUUGAAGUGUUUUACCUGUGAAGGAGCCAAGGUAUAAACAGAGGCAUCGCGGAACGUCGGUGGAGCCAGUCCAUGCAGCAGAGGCAGAAAAUACUUCUCAGGCUGAUCUCUCAGUGUGUGAGAGAUGUGCAGACUCUAUGAGCAGAAUGCCAAGGAUUGUCUGCUUGCCCCUCUCAAGCUGCGUUCCAGUGAUUUUGGACUGUGGGCUGGAUUCCGCCAAGAUGGCAGAAUAGGAACAGCUCUGAAGCGCAACUCCCAGUGAGUGAGAUGCAGAAGGUGAGUGAUCUCUGCAUUUCCAACCGAGGUACCAGGUUCAUUUCAAUGGGACUCGUUGGACAGUGGGUG
rnacentral:lncRNA from 13 species